AUUGAACGCUGGCGGCAGGCUUAACACAUGCAAGUCGAGCGGAGAUGAGGUGCUUGCACCUUAUCUUAGCGGCGGACGGGUGAGUAAUGCUUAGGAAUCUGCCUAUUAGUGGGGGACAACAUUCCGAAAGGAAUGCUAAUACCGCAUACGCCCUACGGGGGAAAGCAGGGGAUCUUCGGACCUUGCGCUAAUCGAUGAGCCUAAGUCGGAGUAGCUAGUUGGUGGGGUAAAGGCCUACCAAGGCGACGAUCUGUAGCGGGUCUGAGAGGAUGAUCCGCCACACUGGGACUGAGACACGGCCCAGACUCCUACGGGAGGCAGCAGUGGGGAAUAUUGGACAAUGGGCGGAAGCCUGAUCCAGCCGUGCCGCGUGUGUGAAGAAGGCCUUUUGGUUGUAAAGCACUUUAAGCGAGGAGGAGGCUACCUGGAUUAAUACUCUAGGAUAGUGGACGUUACUCGCAGAAUAAGCACCGGCUAACUCUCUGCCAGCCGCCGCAGUAACAC
rnacentral:rRNA from 1 species